rnacentral:rRNA from 1 species
GAUGAACGCUGGCGGCGUGCCUAAUACAUGCAAGUCGAGCGAACGGACGAGAAGCUUGCUUCUCUGAUGUUAGCGGCGGACGGGUGAGUAACACGUGGAUAACCUACCUAUAAGACUGGGAUAACUUCGGGAAACCGGAGCUAAUACCGGAUAAUAUUUUGAACCGCAUGGUUCAAAAGUGAAAGACGGUCUUGCUGUCACUUAUAGAUGGAUCCGCGCUGCAUUAGCUAGUUGGUAAGGUAACGGCUUACCAAGGCAACGAUGCAUAGCCGACCUGAGAGGGUGAUCGGCCACACUGGAACUUGGACACGGUCCAGACUCCUACGGGAGGCAGCAGUAGGGAAUCUUCCGCAAUGGGCGAAAGCCUGACGGAGCAACGCCGCGUGAGUGAUGAAGGUCUUCGGAUCGUAAAACUCUGUUAUUAGGGAAGAACAUAUGUGUAAGUAACUGUGCACAUCUUGACGGUACCUAAUCAGAAAGCCACGGCUAACUACGUG